AGACGUCUACAUUAGAUACCCCGGUAGUCCCAGCCGUAAACAAUGUGCGUUAGGUGUGUCGGUAACCACGUGUUACUGAUGCGCCGAAGAGAAAUCGUGAAACGCACCACCUGGGAAGUACGGUCGCAAGGCUGAAACUUAAAGGAAUUGGCGGGGAGCACCACAACGGGUGGAGCCUGCGGUUUAAUUGGACUCAACGCCGGGAAGCUCACCGGAUAAGACAGCGGAAUGAUUGCCGGGCUGAAGACUCUGCAUGACUAGCUG
rnacentral:rRNA from 1 species